rnacentral:rRNA from 1 species
AUGCCUGCUCUCCUGCUGAAGCUCGAUAUCGCAAAGGCCUUUGACAGCAUCUCCUGGGAGUUCCUCCUCGAGCUCCUCGACAAGAUGGGCUUCUUGGCGCGUUGGAGAGAUUGGGUGACCCUCCUCUCCACGUCCUCAUCGUCCUGCCUUCUCAAUGGUGUCCCAGGCCCCGCGUUCAUGCACCUGCGCGGGCUGAGGCAGGGCGACCCCCUCUCGCCAAUGCUAUUCAUGCUCUGCAUAGAUCCUCUGCACCGGCUUCUUCAAGCAGCAACUAACGCGGGGCUCUUGUCUGCGGUGCCCGAGAUGGGUGCGCGCAUGCGCACCAGCCUCUACGCUGAUGAUGCCAUCAUAUUCAUCAACCCUGUUAGGCACGAACUCGAUGAGCUCCUGACCAUCCUGCACCAUUUCGGCGAGGCUACAGGACUGCGAGUAAACUUGGAAAAAUCCUCGAUCAUCCCCAUAGCCUGCGAGGGAGUAGACAUCGCCAUGGUUUUGCUAAACUUUAGUGGGGUCAUCGUCUCAGCCAUGCCCACAUUCGCCAUCACGGCUCUACGGGCACCGAAGCAGUUCCUCAAGGACGUCGACAAGGAAAGACGACAGUUUCUAUGGGCGCAAGACGAAGAGGUUUCAGGAGGAAAAUGCAAGGUGCGCUGGUCGGCGGUCACCUCGCCGGAGCGCAACGGUGGGCUGAGCAUUCACGACCUGGACAAAUUCGCACAGGCACUGCGCUUGCGUUGGCUCUAG